AUUUAUUUAUAAAUGUGUUUACCAAUUAACAUAUAUGCAUUUAUUAUUUAUUUCUCUAUUUUUAUUUAAUUAGUUCUUCAUGUUUUCUAGUUUUCUGUUUCACUGAGAUGAACAUGCAUUAAAUCAAUACAUCACUUGAAUGAAAAAACAAACAUAUAUAACAGCUGUCAGAAACAGCAGGAGAGGAUUCCAUUGGCUCACCGUGGCUGAAACUAUUCCUGCUUUUUUUCUCUAGAUUUAAAGCUCUUCCCUUCUUGGGGUCUUACAAGCCAGGAAAGCUUUGGAGGAUGUACUGCUGCCUAAAUCAUUAUGGCUGCCAUACAGAAGUGGUUUGUAGCUGGUUUAGACUUGUGACAGUGAUCUUCCUAAUUUCAAGGCUGGGUUUUGGUGGUACACUCUAAAUAAAACUAGUGCCGAGAAAACAAGGACAGCAAUGAGCACGUGUUGUUCAGGUAAGACUGCUAUCCAGACGGUCUCAGUUGACUGUUUCUCUUCAAUUGAUGUUGUAGUGUGUUGCUCCAAGUCUUCAUAUUGUCAAUAACUGCUGAAAUGCUUCAGCUAAUCUUUGUCACUUAAUUUCAUAAUAUUUUGGUUUUGAAAUUAGUAACUGCUGUCUUUGAACUGCCCUUGAAACUUCUGCUAAUUUAUGUUCCAACAGCUUGUCUCUUAAAUCCGUUCUUUCUAAGCCUUUAGUGCAUCUGCCCUAUGUAUAUUGACUUCUAAUGAAAGGAAACUGUAAAUUUAAAAUUGUUCAGAACCAACUAUCUCUGCACAUCAUUUCUGUGCAUACGUCUCAUUAGGAAAAUGCAAUUAUCAAGUAAUAAUGUUAGUGUUAGGUUAAAUGACAACUACACAGACACUAAAAAUUGGCUAGCAGUUAGUUACUCAUUUUCCUUUGUAACAAGAAUGAAGUUUCAGUAAAGAAAAACAAAAUCAUUCAUGUUGUCUUUAAUGCCACAAAUAUGAUAAGCAGAACAUUCUGUACUGUAUGCUCUGCUAUUAAAUCCUAUAGUUAAAGCAAUUAUGCAAGUAGAAGAAUGCAAUUUUCUGUGAAUUUACUGUGAUAUAGAUGUAUCUCAAGUAGUAAGUAUGUAAUUCAUAGGAAUUGUCUUUUUUAUACAUCUAUUUUUUCCUCUCUUUAUCUGUUUUGUGUCAUUAACGCUACAUUGCAUCAUAAUUAAUCUCUAGAAAGAUAUGU
rnacentral:lncRNA from 1 species